CAGCCGCCGCGGGAAUACGAAGGGUGCAAGCGUUAAUCGGAAUUACUGGGCGUAAAGGGCGUGUAGGCGGCCUGGGGCGUCCCAUGUGAAAGGCCACGGCUCAACCGUGGAGGAGCGUGGGAUACGCUCAGGCUAGAGGGUGGGAGAGGGUGGUGGAAUUCCCGGAGUAGCGGUGAAAUGCGCAGAUACCGGGAGGAACGCCGAUGGCGAAGGCAGCCACCUGGUCCACUUCUGACGCUGAGGCGCGAAAGCGUGGGGAGCAAACCGGAUUAGAUACCCCCGUAGUCCCUGUCUCUUAUAC
rnacentral:rRNA from 1 species